rnacentral:misc_RNA from 1 species
GGCUUCUCAGGUUAAGAAACAUUCUUCAUACUUGAUGACUGUAGAAAUGUCUAUUGUUGGAAGCUUGUGCCUGCUGGUCAGCACCACUAAGUCUCCAGAUGGUGANNNNNNNNNNNNUGGUUGGACUCCAUUGACUAUGAUUCCAGUGAUAGCCAAUUCUCUUGGAGGAAUACUUGUUGGCCUGGUAACAAGCCAUGCUGGGGGUGUUAGAAAGGGAUUUGUCAUUGUUUCUGCACUACUUGUAACAGCUAUGCUGCAGUUUAUUUUCGAAGGGAAACCACCGUCAUUGUAUUGUUUGCUGGCCCUACCACUCGUCAUUAUCAGUAUUGCAAUAUACCAAAAAUAUCCAUAUAGGGUAAAAAAGAAGGAAUCAUGAUCUAAACUUCGCGGUAGCAGGGGAAUUAUUGGCUCAUCCCAGUUCGUGAAGUUUUUAUUAUUUUUACAGAUCCCAGAUUUUCAGAGGAAAGUUGAAUGUAUUCUUUAGAAGUGUAUUCACGACUACCAGAUUAGGGCACAAAGAAGGCAUACAAUGCAUUCACAAAAUUGAUGAACAUUAUAUUUUCUUCAUGAGAUCUGGAAUUAAGCAUUGAUUGCAGGGAAAUGAAAGAGAAUAGGGCGGUGUCUGAUUUUUGUCCAAAGGGUCAAUAAUC